rnacentral:misc_RNA from 1 species
CGUCUACGUUGAUUGAACUUGUUGUUACCGCUUCCCCGACCGCAUUUGUCGCUUUACACAUGUAAGUACCAGAAUCUUCUCCAUAAGCAUACAGGACAUCCAAUGCCACAUAUCCGAAGUCAUAUGUAGUCUUAAAUCUAUGUCCUUGUUGAAUAGGUCUUCCAUUGCAAUACCAUUCAACACGCAUCGUAGGAUCAUUGACAGGAGUUAAGGUAGCUUCUAGAUGUAUUGGUUGACCUUCCGCUACAUGCGCAUUCUUGAGAGGUUUUCCGAACUGAGGUUUCUCAGCAAUAAAUGCUUCAUCUCUGACAACUCGCUUGUACCUACUAUCAUCUUCAAGGUAUUGAAUUUUUUCUAAACCAGAAGGAUGCUGUGAGUCAAAAAUUAGGUCUUUCUUUGCCAUUACACGUAACGCACACGAUGUGACUGCUUCUCCUAAUUGAUUGGUCGCUUGACAUGUGUAUACUCCGGAGUCUUCUGGGUAGACACUUAAAAGGUCUAAAGCAACGUAAUCAAAUUCAUAGGCCGGUCUAAAUCUGUGACCUGUUUUUAUAGGUCUGCCGUUGCAAAACCAUUCAACUCUCAUUGUAGGAUCACCAACAGGUUGUAAACGGCAUUCUAGGUGCACGUUCGUUCCCUCAACAGUUUCAAUAUUAUGCAGAGCUCUUGAAAAUUGUGGAGCUUGCAUUACAGUUAUAUCUUCUUGCACUUGUUUACUACGACGACUUGCAUCUUCUAGCAUUUGAAUUUGUUCUACAGCUUGCUCAUUUUGAGUCUCGGUCAAAAUAUCCGAUCUUUCAAUAAUUCUCACCAUCGCUGACGUAUGAGCUGAACCUAAGUGAUUUACAGCUCUAACAGUAUAUUCACCUGAAUCAACUGAUGUAGCGUGAAUAAUAUCUAGCGCUACAAAACCAAAAUCGUAGUAAGUUCUGAACCGGGAUCCUACCGUUACGGCUCUUCCGUUGUGGAACCAUUCUACUCUCAUUGUAGGAUCACCCAUUGGCUCUAGUCUACAUUCCAGAUGAAUAUUUUUACCUUCAGAAACGGGCUGUGGGUCCGACAAGGGUUGUACAAAAACUGGUUUAGAUUUUGAGAUUUCUUCUAUGUGGUACAUUGGCUCAACAAAUUUCGAUUCUUCUAUUUGUCGUGUUUUCUCAUAUAAGCCACGAUGAAUGCUCGACGUAUCAAUACUAGAUCGGGCU